rnacentral:rRNA from 1 species
GCAGCGGAGCGUGUGUUAAUUCGUUGCUACACGAAGAACCUUACUGGGUUUGACAUAUAGGUUGUAGGGAACUGAAAAGGGACCGACCCUUCGGGAGCCUAUACAGGUGUUGCAUGGCUGUCGUCAGCUCGUGUCGUGAGAUGUUCGGUUAAGUCCGCUAACGAGCGCAACCCUCGUCGUAUGUUAUAUGUGUUAUACGAGACUGCCGGUAAAAGCCGGAGGAAGGUGAGGAUGAUGUCAAGUCAGCAUGACCUUUAUAUCCAGGGCUACACACACGCUACAAUGGUCUGUACAAUGGGUAGCCAAGCCGCGAGGCGGAGCCAAUCCUGAAAGCAGGCUUCAGUUCAGAUUGCAGUCUGCAACUCGACUGCAUGAAGCCGGAGUUGCUAGUAACCGCAGGUCAGCAAUACUGCGGUGAAUACGUUCCCGGGUCUU